CCUACGGGAGGCUGCAGUGGGGAAUAUUGCAUAAUGGGCGGAACCCUGAUGCAGCGACGCCGCGUGAGUGAAGAAGUAUUUCGGUAUGUAAAGCUCUAUCAGCAGGGAAGAAAAUGACGGUACCUGACGAAGAAGCCCCGGCUAAGUACGUGCCAGCAGCCGCGGUAAUACGUAGGGGGCAAGCGUUAUCCGGAUUGACUGGGCGUAAUGGGAGCGCAGACGGCUGUGCAAGUCUGGAGUGAAGGGCUGGGGCCCAACCCCCGGACUGCUCUGGAAACUGUAAAGUUGGAGUGCAGGAGAGGUAAGCGGAAUUCCUAGUGUAGCGGUGAAAUGCGUAGAUAUUAGGAGGAACACCAGUGGCGAAGGCGGCUUACUGGACUGCAACUGACGUUGAGGCUCGAAAGCGUGGGGAGCAAACAGGAUUAGAUACCCCAGUAGUC
rnacentral:rRNA from 1 species